rnacentral:lncRNA from 1 species
CUAGCUCAACCCACAUUCAGAUUUGGAUCCAAAACCAAUAAAAAUUCAUGUGAAUGAAUUUCGUAACCCAAAGCCCACAAAAAAAAACCCAAAAUCCAAAAUCCACAAAGAUCCAAAACCCAAAGUCCACAAACAAAAUCCCAAAAAUUCAAAAUCCACAAACAAAGAUCUAAAAUCCAAAGUCCACAAAUAAGAUCUAAAACCCAAAACCCAAAGAUCCAAGAUCCAUAGUCUAUAAAUAAAAUCCAACCAAAUUUACCAAACCUAUGUCAUCCAAAUACCUUCAACCCAAACAGAAUUCAUGGGUUUUCCAAAUAGGCCAUUUAUUUUGAAUUAAUUCUAUGAAUCAAUUUCCUGGGCUUUCCAAAGGCCCCCUAUCAUGAAUUAAUUCGACAAAUUAAUUUCAUGGGUUUGCCAAAUAGGCCCUUUAUCACGGAUUAAUUCUAUGAAUUAAUUUCAUGGGCCGUCCUUGUCAUAGAUUAAUUUUAUGAAUUAAUGGGCCCUCCAAAUGGCUCCUUAUCAUAAAUUAAUUCAAUGGGCUCUCCAAAUGACCCCUAUCAUGAAUUAAUUUCAAUAAUUCAACGGACUUUACAAACGGGCUCCUAGCAUGAAUUAAUUUCAUGAAUCAGUUUCAUUAACAUCUCGAUUUCAAACGACCGAAAAGUCGCUAAACUAAACCCAAAUUCAAACGAUCGAAAAGUCGCUAAACUAAACUCAAAUUCAAACAACCGAAACGUCGUUAAACUAAACCCAAAUUCAAACGACCGAAACGUCGUUAAACUAAACCCAAAUUCAAACGACCGAAACGUCGUUAAACUAAACCCAACGACCGAAACGUCGUUAAACUAAACCCAACGACCGAAACGUCGUUAAACUAAACCCAAAUCCAAACGACCGUAAAGUCGCUAAACUAAACCCAAAUUCAAACGACCGCAAAGUCAUUAAAAUAAACUCAAAUUCAAACGACCGUAAAGUCGUUAAACUAAACAAUCAACCUAAACCCAAUCCAAAACAUCUCGAAAUCGACAGAGUUCUAAAUUACACACUUAGAACUCAGUCAAAUGAUAUCAAAUUCAUUCGAACUCUAAUACAUAUACUUAGAGUUCAUCCGACUAACCCUAACACAUAUCUUUAGAGUCUAGUCAACCUUUUGCUCUAGCACAUAUACCUAGAGUGGAAGUCAAACCGUGCUCGACUAGUCCUAACCCAUAUACUUAGGGUCUAGUCAGCCUUUUGCUCUAGCACAUAUACCUAGAGUGAAAUCCAUACCCGAUCGAGCUCUAAUACAUAUACUUGGAGCUCAUACAAAUCAAAUCCGACUACCCCUAAUACAUAUACUUAGGGCUUAGUCAGAUCUUCAUUCUAGCACAUAUAACUAGAGUGAAAAUAUAUUAAACUCGGUUAAUCCUGAUACAUAUACUCAAGAAUUAGCCACUCUCUACUUUCGGGUAAUUCGACUCACCUCAAUACAUAUACU